rfam:Solanum tuberosum cultivar DM 1-3 516 R44 scf00451_57, whole genome shotgun sequence.
UUGGAACAAUGUAGGCAAGGAAAGUCGGCAAAAUGGAUCCGUAACUUCGUGAAAAGAAAUAUGCUCGGAGUGUUUGGCAAGGGGGUCGUAGUACCAAACCCACUGGCUGACGAUGAACUGCAUGAGCUGAUCCCGUGGAAAUAGUGGGUCGCCGUGUGCCGGCCGGGGGACGGACUGGGAAACGGUUCCUUCGGGGGCCUUUCCCGGGAGUCAAACAACCAACUCAUAACUGUUACAAACAAGGGGAAUUUGACUAUUUAUUUAAAACCAAAGCACUGUGAUGGUCCCAACGGAUGUUUACACAAUGUGAUUUUUGUCUAGUGCAAUGAAUGUCCAAGUCAAGAAAUUCAACCAUGCGGGGGUAAACGGUCGGAGUAACUAUGACUCUUUUUAAGGUAGCCAAAAUGCCUCUUCAUCUAAUUAGUGAUUCGUAUGAAUGUAUUAAUAAGAUUCCCACUGUCUCUGUCUAAUAUACAGCGAAACCACAGCCAAGGGAACAUGAUUGGCAGAAUCAGCGGGGAAAAAGACCCUUUUGAGCUUGAAUCUAGUCCGACUUUAUGAAAUGACUUGAGAGGUGUAGUAUAAGUGGGAGUCGAAAGGCGAAAGUGAAAUAUCACUACUUUUAACGUUAUUUUACUUAUUCCGUGAAUCGGAAGAGGGGGACUACCCUCUUUUUGGACCCAAGACUCGAUUUGCGGAUCGAUCUGGGGGAAGACACUGUCAAGUGGGGAGUUUGGCUGGGGUGGCACAUCUGUUAUAAGAUAACGCAGGUGUCCUAAGAUGAGCUCAAUGAAAAUAGAAAAAUCGUGUGGAUCAGAAGGACAAAAGCUCGUUUGAUUCUGAUUUCCAGUACGAAUACGAACCGUGAAUGCGUGGCCUAACGAUCUUUUAGAACUUCAGAGUUCUAAGCUGGAGGUGUCAGAGAAGUUACCACAAGGAUAACUAGCUUGUGGCAGCCAAGCUAUAUAGCAAAAUUUCUUUUUGAUCCUUCGAUGUUGGCUCUUCCUAUCAUUGUGAAGCAAAAUUCACCAAGUGUUGGAUUGUUCACCCACAAAUAGGGAACGUGAGCUGGGUUUAGACCAUCGUGAGAGAGGUUAGUUUACCCUACUGAUGACAGUGUCGCAAUAGUAAUUAAAACUAGUAAGAGAGGAACCGUUUUGCGUAGGCCUCGGCCAGGCAUCAUCAGCGAUGGCCUACUCACAUCGAUCAACCGAGGUCGCACGUGGCCUGCCAAAAUAAACUGUGUCCUGCAGACACCGAUCUGCCGACGU